CCCAAGUGCUGGUAUGGUGUUUGUUAAGCCUGGCCUUUGUGAAGCUCCCUGGGGUCUCCCUAGAAAUGCAAGCACACAGCAGAGUGGAUGAGCGAUGUAACAAGCUGUCCCUCCGUGGGGCACGGAGGUGAAUGCAGUGGUUAUUCUGUCAGCUCUAAUACAGAAAACCCUCUCCAGGAGAAUUCUGCAGUUUUACAAAGUAACACUGGUGCCACUACAAAUGGGACUAGGUACUAUUGGGUCAGUGUGGGAAAGGACACAGCAGCAAGGAUAGCUCCUGUAUUCUACCAAGUUUCCUGACCAAUUUCCCGCCUCUCAAUGAAGACACUGAGUACCAGCAUCUCAAGAACAGUCAGCUACCAUUUCCUGAACUUCCUCUUCAGAUGCCCAGGUGACCACAUCCAGAUUUCCAGAGAUGCCCAAGCUGAAAGCCAGACAAGAAGGUGGAGGCUUUCCCUUUAAGAAAAGACUGAACUUGUAGGUCAUCAUUCUUGGCUGGACAUUAAUUAUUGAGUUUAUAUACAACACAUGCAUGCAGAACCCAGAGAGACCAAGAGAAGAAGAUGGAUUUCCCUGGAACUGGAAUUGCAGGCUAACAGAAAUGAGUGACAGCCUCGAGGGACUUGGAAGAUGUAGGGCAAGCUGAUUCCCAUCACAUCACAUCUGAUAAUGCUGAAGACACAUAGAUCCUGAGGAUGACCAACAGUUACCAGAAACCUAAUCAGUGGAAGGACAGCUUUUCCCAUGGACACU
rnacentral:lncRNA from 1 species